rnacentral:rRNA from 1 species
CUAAGCACGAAACUUGCCCCGAGAUGAGUUCUCCCUGACUCCUUGAGAGUCCUGAAGGAACGUUGAAGACGACGACGUUGAUAGGCCGGGUGUGUAAGCGCAGCGAUGCGUUGAGCUAACCGGUACUAAUGAACCGUGAGGCUUAACCUUACAACGCCGAAGCUGUU